rnacentral:lncRNA from 1 species
CUUUGUGCACCGAAUUCAUCGGCAGCAAGAUGCGAAACCAGUAUCUUCAAAGUUGCGCCGACUACCCCUGGCCCUCCGUAACCAGGUCACACAUGAAUUGCGACGUCUCGAGGACUGCGACGUCAUCGAGCGCGUCGAGGCUAUUGAGUGGGUGUCUCCACUCGUGGUGGUGCGCAAGAAGGAUGGAACCAUGCGGCUCUGUGUAGAUCUACGGGAACAGGACAGUCUUGUGUCUCAAGUUCAAGAAAGGGUCUUGCAGAAACAGUGGCAGACUAAACAGUACGUAGACAAACGUAGAGGUGCUCAGGCAACUCGUAUCAAGGUGGGAGACACCGUCAAAGUAAAACUUGCCAAGAAAAGAUUUUUUAAGUACAGUACGCCUCGUACAGUUAAAGCCCAGGUAGGACCAUCCUCUUUUGUACUCAGUGAUGGGAAGACGUGGAAUGCCUCUAAGUUAACCACAGUAGUAGAUAAUUCAAAACAUAGUACAUUGUCCACAACGGAUAAAGAUUUUUUGUACUCGUA